rnacentral:rRNA from 1 species
CGCUGGCGGCAGGCUAACCAUGCAAGUCGAACGGUAACAUGACUAGCUUGCUAGUUGAUGACGAGUGGCGGACGGGUGAGUAACGCGUAGGAAUCUACCCAGUAGCGGGGGAUAAGCCAGAGAAAUUUGGUCUAAUACCGCAUACGCCCUUCGGGGGAAAGCAGGGGAUCUUCGGACCUUGCACUAUUGGAUGAGCCUGCGUGAGAUUAGCUUGUUGGUGAGGUAAUGGCUCACCAAGGCGACGAUCUCUAGCUGGUCUGAGAGGAUGAUCAGCCACACUGGAACUGAGACACGGUCCAGACUCCUACGGGAGGCAGCAGUGGGGAAUAUUGCACAAUGGGCGCAAGCCUGAUGCAGCCAUGCCGCGUGUGUGAAGAAGGCCCUAGGGUUGUAAAGCACUUUCAGCAGUGAGGAAAGGCUAGUAGUUAAUACCUGCUAGCUGUGACGUUAACUGCAGAAGAAGCACCGGCUAACUCCGUGCCAGCAGCCGCGGUAAUACGGAGGGUGCGAGCGUUAAUCGGAAUUACUGGGCGUAAAGCGCGCGUANGUGGAUUGGUCAGUCAGAUGUGAAAGC